AUACCAUGGUGGGGGGCAUUUCCUCAAUAGCUCUUUGAAACGCUCCCAAGUAUCAUAUAAUGACUCUCCAUCCAUCUGAUAGAAGUUAUUGAUUUCUCCCCUCAAUUU